rnacentral:lncRNA from 1 species
UGUGUGUGUGUGUGUGUGUCUUUUACCCCUUGACUGUGGUGCGGGCUGCGCGCGCACAUCUCAUUCCGCUGGGGUUUAGUGACGUUUCUCGGGUCCGAACGGGUCGGAACGCGGUUUGGAGCGGGGCGGGGCGGGGCGGAGCGGGGAGCGCGCGGGUGGGCUGCACUGGGAUGCAGUGGCCUGGGCGCACGGACCCGCGGGUGGAAAGUGUUGCGAGUGGAGAGGACAGCAGGGGAGCGCGAGCCCCGUCCCGAAGGCGGAUUGGCGCGGGGCGGGCGCGCGAAACAACUGCGUGCAGUGCGCGGGGUGCAGGCUGGACUUUAGAAACGUUUUUAAGAUGGUCAGUGUGUCCGCCUCCAGUCCACCGACCGCCAUCCUGGGACCGACCGUCCGACAGUUCAUGAAUGUUCCAGUGAACGAAAGCACCAAGCACGAAUGAACGACAGAUCCAGGAUGAUGGUUUUGUGCCUCCUUAUCCACGUACUUCAUAACCCCACACAUGCGUGGUGCAGAUGACCUGAACAGAGACAGGGUACCUUCCCUUUUUCCGACCCCCUGAAGUGGGUCUGUUGGCAUGCCUACACCUACUUUUCCAACAGCAGCCCCCCAAACUCCACCUCCAGGGGGCUGGAAGGACAAGACUAGCAGAGUCUAGAGACACACAGCAGAAGUGCUGCUACCGCACUAGGGGUGCCCCCUCAACCCUGAGGGUUCGAGAUGGCUCCCUGCCAAUCUGUGAUGUCAUGCCAUUGCCAAUAGCUCCACCCACCCUUCCACCACACCAACAACGACCCCAAACCCUCCUGCCUAUGCAGGAUCUGGGCAGGAUGUUGUGGUUCCCCUCUUAUUGUUGAGCACAGGGUGGGGGUGGCAUCUGUAGAGUCUUGGGCAUUGAGGCAUUGUGGGAUCAGUGCCCAGCUACAAACUAGGAACUGCCAGCACCGGCGAUAUGGACCAUCAUAGCCAGAAAAUUAAAAAAUGAACAGAGAUGCUGACUGUUCUGCCGUAAAUAAUAAAACAAACACUAAAAUAACA